rnacentral:lncRNA from 1 species
CUUUGUGUAAUUUUCUUUUGCACUAGUUAUUAGUUUAUAAUGCGUGGGAUCUUUUCAGUUAAGCAGUGGAGAGAAGGUGGCUGCUGGAUUAAGGAAAUAUGAAUAUGACAAAGUUCUAUUUUUUUCUUCUUCUAUUCCAUUAUUUGAAACACAAAAUUGAUGCGAGUAAGAAAUUUUGAAUUUAAAGGAAUUGAAAAUUUCGAAAGUGAAUUGUCUUAAAAGAAUUUUGGUCUACAUACACUGCAAUACUAAUAGUUUAUAAAAAUCAAGACUCGAACCUGCUUCAAAGAGAUGGGAACGCCAGAAAAGCAACCACACCACAUUUAGCCCAAUAGAUUGCUAUUCUUGCUUGUCAAUUACAAAUGGUUGCCCUCUAUUUAUACUACUAAUUUAGGGUUAACAUAUAAAUAAUAAUUGUUAUGUGAGUCCCUACAUAUUUACAAAUAAGUGUUUAUUCUAGAAUACUCUAUACAACUAGAAUAUUAACGCAACAAAGGAAAAACUGAUGCAAGUAUAUGUUUUCUUUCAAAAAGAGAAUCAGACAUGUAUUUACCAAUGAACCAUCCACUUAUUUUUAGAAGUGGGUUCGCACAUGUAAAAUAUUUUGUAUCGUUACAAAUAUAUAAUUUACACAAAAAAUAUAGAAUUCCUUCAAAGUAGCUCCGCCCCUGGAUAGGAGGUUUGAUCGAAAGUAAAAGAGAACUCUUGAAAAGAGGCUUGCUAACAUCUUUCCAAUUGCUUCCAAUUUUCACUUUCUUCAAGUGCAUGCUCCAAAGCUCCCAAAUAAGAAGCAAUGUAAAUGUUAAUUAACAAUAUAUAUCAACAUAAAUAAAUCUUGCAUAAUCAGUCAAUAGUUGUUCCUAUCUCCUAAAUACAAACAGCCACCAUCUCGCCAUUGCUCAACACAAAAGAUUUCACACGUUAUAAACUAAAAAUUAGUCUGAAAGUAAAUUACACAGAAGAGAUAGGUGGCGAAUCCAUAACUCAAAAGAAAUGAUGGAAGCUAAUUAAUAUCAUCAUGCAUAUGGUGGUCAGUGUGGAAGAAAAGAAAUGGAAGAUAUUUUGAAGAUAGAUUUAAUUUUAAUUUUAUUCGAAAAAGUAAUACGGAAUUGUUUAACAUCUUUAUAUUUUUGGUGUAAACAACUAAGAAUAGAAGAUGUAGAUCAUAGGGAGCUUGCAGUUUUGAUCUACAUCUUCUAUAUAAAGUUGUUUAUAUCAAAAAAGAAAAGAUACUAAACUAUUCUAUUUUACUUUGUGAAUGAGACUAGAUCUAUCUUCAAAACAUCUACGACUCCUUUCCAUCCAUACUAACCACCAUAUGUAUAAUGGUAUUAGAUUCCACCACUUCUAUUGAAUCUUGGAUCCCCCUCUCCUUUGUGUAAUUUUCUUUUGCACUAGUUAUUAGUUUAUAAUGUGUGGGAUCUUUUCAGUUAAGCAGUGGAGAGAAGGUGGCUGUUGGAUUAAGGAGAUAAGAAUAUGACAAAGUUCUAAUUUUUUUUCUUCUAUUCCAUUAUUUGAAACACAAAUUUGAUGCGAGUAAGAAAUUUAGAAUUUAAAGGAACUAAAAAUUUCGAAAGUGAAUUGUCUUAAAAGAAUUUUGGUCUACAUACACUGCAAUACUAAUAGUUUAUAAAAAUCAAGACUCGAACCUGCUUCAAGGAGAUGGGAACGCCAGAAAAGCAACCACACCACAUUUAGCCCAAUAGAUUGCUA